AUGGAGCUCGCUCCGGCUGUCGACCACACUCGCCGCCCGCGCAACAGCCACAAGGUCAUCGCUUCCACCCCUGCAAUGGAGCACCAAGUGGCCCUGCUCACCCAGCAUGCCGUCGUCAUCACUGCGGUCGGCACCAAGGCGCACGCCGCAAGCCCUCUGUCCAUCGGGAGGGCGCUGGAGAAGGAGCUGAAGGUCCCGCCUCACCUGCUGCGCGUGACCGCCCACGACCCUGAAGAUUUCUUCGUCUUCUUCAACCUGCCGGGGCACAAAGAUCUGGCGGUGCGGCACGGCUCGCUCAUCGUCGAUGGAGUGCCGUUCCUGCUGGAGCCCUGGCGGGAGGACGCCCACGCCGUGCACCAGAAGUGGAUGCUGCACGUCCGGGUGGUCAUCGAGAAGCUGCCCAUGCAGCUCUGGACGCUCGAGGGCGCGGUGGAGGUUCUUGGAGACAAGGUGAUCGUCGACCGCCUCGACAGCCGAACUUUUGAGCGCGCCGACACCAAGCUAUUCGCAUGCUGGGUCUGGGUCUGGAACCUCUCCUUCAUCCCGACCAAGAGGACGAUCUGGAAGCAUGCGAGGGGGGCGGGCCGCGUGGAAGAGAUGCUCGGCUACUCGCCACCGAGCCGCGCGGUCGCUCCUCCGCCGGAGCUGCUGCAGUAUGACCUGCUGCUACACAUGGACCGCGUCGAGGACUGGACGCCGCUCUCGCCGCGCUCCUCGCACUCGCCGCAGAGUGGCCUCCCCUCCGACGAUGAUGAAGACGACGACCGGCCAUACCCCCGCAUCGACCCUGGGGUCUGGACCGUGCGUGUUGAAGACGGGCGGCCCGCGCAACCCCAGGCGCCCCUGCUGCGCCCACCUCCGCGUGUCUCCUCCUCUGGCUGGAAAGGGAUGCCGCUGGGGGGUGCACGCAGGGAGCAUGACGGAGAUGACCGAGGACACCACCGCCACUCCUGGAGGGAAGCGCUGCUAGGUAGAGGGCGCGCGGCGGACCACGGCAAGGCACCCAAGGCCACCACCAGACACCGCAGCCGCACCCCGACGUCAAGGCACCGCCAAUGUGCGCCUGGAGACCGGCUGCCUGACGUUGAGGCUCGCCCGCAGGCACCCCGGGAGCGCGCCCACGCCGGCCCGAGGGGCGAGGGCAAAGAGGGCGCUCGCUCGUCGGUCUUGAAGGAGAAAGCGCCGACCAAGGGAAAGCUGCAGAUGCCGGGGCAGGGGGGAGCGCCAGUGUCCCUGCUCGCCCCACCAUGA
rnacentral:rRNA from 1 species